rnacentral:rRNA from 1 species
AAAACUUUCAACAACGGAUCUCUUGGCUCUGGCAUCGAUGAAGAACGCAGCGAAAUGCGAUACGUAAUGCGAAUUGCAGAAUUCAGUGAACCAUCGAAUCUUUGAACGCACAUUGCGCCCGGCAGCACUCUGCCGGGCAUGCCUGUUCGAGCGUCAUC